rnacentral:rRNA from 1 species
CAACAGGGAUUGCCUCAGUAACGGCGAGUGAAGCGGCAAGAGCUCAACUUUGGAAUCGCUCCGGCGAGUUGUAGUCUGGAGGUGGCCACCACGAGGUGUUCUAGCAGCAGGCAAGUCCUUUGGAACAAGGCGCCAGCGAGGGUGACAGCCCCGUACCUGCUUUUGCUAGUGCUUCCUGUGGCCCACCGACGAGUCGAGUUGUUUGGGAAUGCAGCUCUAAGUGGGUGGUAAAUUCCAUCUAAGGCUAAAUAUUGGCGAGAGACCGAUAGCGAACAAGUACAGUGAUGGAAAGAUGAAAAGCACUUUGAAAAGAGAGUGAAACAGUACGUGAAAUUGUUGAAAGGGAAGGGCUUGCACCCAGACACGGUUUCGGCCGGGCCAGCAUCAAGUAGAACGGGGUUAAAAGACCUGGGGAAUGUAGCUACCUCUUGGUAGUGUUAUAGCCCUUGGGUGAUGACCCCUGUUUUGCUUGAGGACAGCGGUCUCUAGGAUGCUGGCGCAAUGGUUGCAAGCCACCCGUCUUG